rnacentral:rRNA from 1 species
CAGUAGCGCGGUAAUACGUAGGGUGCGAGCGUUAAUCGGAAUUACUGGGCGUAAAGCGUGCGCAGGCGGUUGUGUAAGACAGGUGUGAAAUCCCCGGGCUUAACCUGGGAACUGCGCUUGUGACUGCACAGCUAGAGUAUGGCAGAGGGGGGUGGAAUUCCACGUGAAGCAGUGAAAUGCGUAGAGAUGUGGAGGAACACCGAUGGCGAAGGCAGCCCCCUGGGCCAAUACUGACGCUCAUGCACGAAAGCGUGGGGAGCAAACAGGAUUAGAUACCCGUGUAGUCCCUGUCUCUUAUACC